rnacentral:sRNA from 2 species
ACUGCUGUCAAUCUAUCUAUUGCUGCUAAUCUAUCGCUGCUAAUCUAUCACUGCCAAUCUAUCUACCACUGUCAAUCUAUCUAUCACUGCUAAUCUAUCAAUGCUAAUCUAUCGCUGCUAAUCUAUCGCUGCUAAUCUACCACUGCCAAUCUAUCUACCACUGCCAAUCUAUCUAUUGCUGCUAAUCUAUCGCUGCUAAUCUAUUGCUGCUAAUCUAUCACUGCCAAUCUAUCUACCGCUGCCAACCUAUCUACCGCUGCCAACCUACCUACCGCUGCCAAUCUAUCUAUCGCUGCCAAUCUAUAUAGGGUAAAUCAUGGUCCCAUUUGGUCCCAUUUUGUAAAAUGAGAUCAAAUGGGAUCAGAAUCACUAAUUUAUUAGUAAAACAUGAUCUGAAACUAGAUUUAUAAUAUAAACAGUGUAAAAUGACUAAUUUACUAAACACUAUAUGAGAUCAGAACUAAGAUAUCUAAUAAUGGAACUGAGGAAAAAUUUGGUCCCAGUUUCAUGCAUGGUCACAC